AGGGCAGGCAAGGUUUAGAACAGAGGUGGGAAAUGUAAAUCGCAUUAUUGUUUUGUUUUUCAAGUAGGCUCGAUGCUCGGCUCACGACCCUGAGAUCAAGACCUGAGCUGAGAUCAAGAGUCAGACGCUUAACCCACUGAGCCACCCAGGCACUCCUGGAAAUAGCAUUAUUGGAUGGCAGUGAGAGAAUGGCCCGGCAACAUCUUGGGGCAGAGGGGUGGAUGGUUUGGAAGAGGGAGGGCCUGGGGACAAAGGACUCAGUUUGGGUGCUGGUGACUCCUCCCAGGAGACGGUAAGGACCUGAAGUACAGAUAUUAUCAGGAAGAUUGGAUACACAGCUGGAGUAGGGGUUCCAGAUUUAGCAAAUGAAAUUUCAGGACACAGUGCAAGAGACAUUCUUAAACUAAAAUAUGAUUUGUUGGAUAUCUGAAUUUCACAUUUAGCCAGACAUCCCUGCAUUUUCUCUGGUAUCCGUGCACUGGUGGAGAGCAAGUUAGAGCCAAACCAUGAAGGCCUUGAACGCCGUGCCAGAAUGUUUACCCUCUGCCCUGAGAGUAAUGAGGAGCCACUGAAGGGGCUUAACCUGAGGAUGGACAUAAUCACCUAUGCCUUUUAGAAAGGUGGCUCGGGUUGUGGCAAGGAGAGUGGAUGGAGCAGGGGGUGGGGUUGGGGCGGCUAGAGGCUGUGACAGCAAUUCAAGGGACAGAGGAGCAAGGCCCGAGUCAGGGCAGAGGCAGCGAGCAUAGAGAGGAGGGUAGAGUCCAGGAGCGACUCAGCUCCAAUCAGAAGAUACUACCUGAAUUCUAAGUACACACUGAGGGGUAAGGCAUGGGCGUUGCGACCAAACGUCCAGGGCCAGUGGAAGAAGCAGCCUCCAAGUGGGGGGCAGGGCAGAGCAGCCUGCGAUCUCUCCCACUGCCUCCUGCCACCCAAGGGAAGAAAGUGAGGCGCGCGUGCUGGCGAAGCUUCGCUGGAGGAUCUUGAGCAGCUGCCGGAGAAACCCCUCCCAGUGUCUCCCUGGCUGGGCGGUGUGUCAGUCUCUGGCUACCAUCUUUGUCCGCUUCCCGAGGAACGGGACCACAGCUGCAGUUGCCUUGGUACAACCAAUGGGGGACAGUGUCCUGCAGUGGUUAAAGGCGUGGGCUCUGAAACAAGACUGAAUCCUGGCUCGCUCCUGUGUAACCUCAGGCAAGCUACUUGGCCUCACCAUGCC
ensembl:lncRNA